rnacentral:misc_RNA from 1 species
AACGCACCUUGCACCGUAUCAGUAAUGACACGGUAUACCUGUUUGAGAAUCGUAAACAUCCUCAUCUACACUCUCUUUUGCGUGUGGGUGGACGUGUCGGUUCAAUAGCAAUACUGUCCGAUUAAAUAGAGUAGGUCUGGAACAGGCUAGUGGCCUGGGACACUGUGUGCUAGAGACUUUGGUUCAGCAAUGAGCCCUGUCUUCUCACGGUGCGUCUCGGGUCAUUUAAAGCUAGCCUGGAAAGGUCCUUAACUGCGUCAAGCCUUCGUGCUUGAGCAACCCCCUCUCUUUGAUCUCAAAUCAGGUAAGGCUACCCGCUGAACUUAA